rnacentral:lncRNA from 1 species
GGGUGUUACAUGUAUCAUAUCUUCUUCAAAAUUUAUUUUGAUUCUAAGCCAGUGCUAAUUUGAAUUAUAAUAUCUUGACAUAGCAUGAUAUGGGUUAUCUGGACGUUAUUCGCAGUGAAUUAUUAGUUUAGGUAUGUGAACAGAAUUGAAUCAGGGUAUGUCUAAGUGUGAAUCAAUAGUAUGAAAAUCCGUGUAAGUAUCCUCCAUAUGCA